GAUGAACGCUGGCGGCGUGCCUAAUACAUGCAAGUCGAGCGAACAGACGAGGAGCUUGCUCCUCUGACGUUAGCGGCGGACGGGUGAGUAACACGUGGAUAACCUACCUAUAAGACUGGGAUAACUUCGGGAAACCGGAGCUAAUACCGGAUAAUAUAUUGAACCGCAUGGUUCAAUAGUGAAAGACGGUUUUGCUGUCACUUAUAGAUGGAUCCGCGCCGCAUUAGCUAGUUGGUAAGGUAACGGCUUACCAAGGCGACGAUGCGUAGCCGACCUGAGAGGGGGGUGGCACACACGGAAACGGAGACCGGCCCCGACGCCCAGGGGGGGGCGCAGGGGGGAAAUUUCCCGAAAGGGGCGAAAGCCGGAGGGGGAACGCCGGGGGGAGGGAGAAGGGUUUUGGUAUCGAAAACCUUUUUUAUGGGGAAAAAAAAAAUGGGAAAGUACAAAGGACCGUCUGGAGGGAACCUAACAAGAAGACCCCGGCAAACAACGUC
rnacentral:rRNA from 1 species